rnacentral:rRNA from 1 species
UACGGGGGGGGCAAGCGUUGUUCGGAAUUACUGGGCGUAAAGGGCUUGUAGGUGGCCAACUAAGUCAGACGUGAAAUCCCUCAGCUUAACUGGGGAACUGCUUCUGAUACUGGAUGGCUUGAGUUUGGGAGAGGGAUGCGGAAUUCCUGGUGUAGCGGUGAAAUGCGCAGAUAUCAGGAGGAACACCGGUGGCGAAGGCGGGUCUCUGGGCCGAUACUGACACUGAGGAGCGAAAGCGUGGGGAGCGAACAGG